UUUAUUAUAUCUUUAGUGUUUUAUAUUAAAUUUUAUUUUGUUUUUUUGUUUUUAGUAUUAUUUAGGAAUAAUUCUUUUUAAUUUUACUGAUAAGGAUAUUUUAAAAUAAGGUUGUUUUAUUAUUUAGUACCUUUUGUAUCAGGGUUAAUUUAUUACUUUAUUUAUAUUUUAUUCCCGAAUCAAGAAUAUUUAAAUAUUUAUUUGUUUUUCAUGUUUUAUAUUGUUAAUGAAUUUUUGUUUAAUAAUUAAAAGUUAUUUGUUUUUUGAAUAUAUCUGGUUUUCUUGGAUUUGAAUUUAAUUUAUACUUAUUUUUUAAGUUAAGAUAAUUGGGGAUUAGCUCGAUUUUUAGUUAAAAUUUAUUUAUUUUUAUAUUUAUUUUUCUUAGUAUCUGAAAAUUUAGUUCGUAAUAGAUUGUUAUAUUUAUUUAUGAUUUUUUUAUAUUUAUCUUUUUACUUGGAUUAUUUACUUAAUUUUUAUUUAUUUUUAUUUAUGAUUAAAUUAGUAUAAUUUAUAUUUAUUUAUUUAUGAAUUCGACAAAAUUAAUUUUCAACUGUUUAUCAAAAACAUUUCUUUAAGAAUAAAAUUUAAGGUAGGUUCUGCCCUAUGAUUAUAAUUUUAAAUGGCUGCAGUAUUUUGACUGUACAAAGGUAGCAUAAUAAUUAGCUUCUUAAUUAGGGGCUUGUAUGAAUGAAUUAAUGAGAAAUUUAUUUUAUUAUAUAUAUAUUUAUAAUUUAAUUUUUAAGUUAAAAAGCUUAAUUAAAUUUUUGGGACGAUAAGACCCUAUAGAACUUAAAUUUUUUAUUUAUAAUUUUAUUUUUGGUUUUUCUUUUAGUUUAUUAUUAUUAAAUUUUUGCUGGGGUGGUGAAUAAAUAUUUAACUUUAUUUUUAUUUUUCAUUAAUUUAUGUUUUUUUGAUCCAUUUUUGAUUAUAAGAUUAAGUUACCUUAGGGAUAACAGCGUAAUUUUAAUGGAAAGUUCAUAUUUAUAUUAAAGUUUGCGACCUCGAUGUUGAAUUAAGAUUAAAUUAAGGGGUAGGUUCUUUAAGUUUUAGGUCUGUUCGACCUUUAAAUUCUUACAUGAUUUGAGUUCAAACCGGUGUAAGCCAGGUUGGUUUCUAUCUAAUAAUUAUUAUUGACCUUUUUAGUACGAAAGGACCAAUUGGUCCUAUUUUAUAUAGUUUAAUUUUGAAUUUUAUUA
rnacentral:rRNA from 1 species